UCUCCGUUGGUUAACCAGCGGAGGGAUCAUUACUGAGUGAGGGCUUCGGUCCGACCUCCAACCCUUUGUGAACCGAAACCUGUUGCUUCGGGGGCGACCCUGCCUUUCGGCGCGGCGCCCCCGGAGGCUCAUCAAACACUGCAUCUUUGCGUCGGAGUCUUAAUGAAUUUAAACAAAACUUUUAACAACGGAUCUCUUGGUUCUGGCAUCGAUGAAGAACGCAGC
rnacentral:misc_RNA from 1 species